rnacentral:rRNA from 1 species
AUUGAACGCUGGCGGCAGGCUUAACACAUGCAAGUCGAGCGGGGGGAGGUAGCUUGCUACCGGACCUAGCGGCGGACGGGUGAGUAAUGCUUAGGAAUCUGCCUAUUAGUGGGGGACAACAUCUCGAAAGGGAUGCUAAUACCGCAUACGUCCUACGGGAGAAAGCAGGGGAUCUUCGGACCUUGCGCUAAUAGAUGAGCCUAAGUCGGAUUAGCUAGUUGGUGGGGUAAAGGCCUACCAAGGCGACGAUCUGUAGCGGGUCUGAGAGGAUGAUCCGCCACACUGGGACUGAGACACGGCCCAGACUCCUACGGGAGGCAGCAGUGGGGAAUGUUGGACAAUGGGGGGAACCCUGAUCCAGCCAUGCCGCGUGUGUGAAGAAGGCCUUAUGGUUGUAAAGCACUUUAAGCGAGGAGGAGGCUACUUUAGUUAAUACCUAGAGAUAGUGGACGUUACUCGCAGAAUAAGCACCGGCUAACUCUGUGCCAGCCGCCGCAGUAA